GAGCUGUCGUUAGUGAGGGACGCAGGGGAAGGGUGCGGGAGUAGAGGGCAGGAAGGGAGAAAGCAGGCAGGUUCGGGAAUGUUAAUCGAGGUGCACGAGCGGGCGCUAGGACCGGGCAUCGGAAAGAUGCAGCUUGGGUGCCGACAGUGCCUUCGCUUGCCUGGAGGUGACGCGGCAGAGGCGGAGGUCUCUGGCCUGGACGAAGCGCCGGAGGGAGGGGAGACCCGACUAUUAUUACCUUCGGCCUCGAUUCGCCCCUCUCUGCGCGGUCCCUUCCUUCCCUUCCCUCCUCCUGCCUGGGGGUCGUGCUCCGGCCCAGGGGUGUCCAACCUCUCCUCGAGCCCCAUGGCACCUGCCCAGCCCCACCUCGCACGCCUGCGCAUCCCUGCGCGCCGGGGCCGUGUGGUGCAGGCCGUGGAGAGACCCGGCCACUGAUUGGCUGCUGCGCGCUGGGGGCGGGGCGGCUGGGAGAUGCCCGUCCUCUGCGCCGCUCGGUGUCUUUCCCGCCAUGUCGUUCGUGGAGAGCGCGAAGCGCUCUUCUUUGCUGCGCCGUCGCCGCGGCACCCCCGUCCCUUUCGCUCGGCCGAGGUUAUCCGCCUUGACUCAAGGGGACAGUUGGGGUGAAGGUGAAGACGAUGAGGAGGGAUACGACCAAGUAGCCCGCGACUUGCGGGCGGAACUGUCCGCGGGGGCGUCGUCGGAGCCUAGAAAGGGCGCGCUGCUCCCGCCGGAGAAGGACGGCUCUCCCGUCCUGCCAGACAAACGCAACGGCUUCUUCUCGGCGGAGGCGCGCGGCCCAGCCCGGGCGCGGCGGUGGCCGGUGCGGGUCCUCUCGAUUCUCUGUGCGCUGCUGUUUGCCGUCCUCCUCGCUUGCCUUCUCGCCAUCGCCUACCCGAUCGUGAAAGGCUUACAUGCUGAGAAUUUGAAGAAUGAAGAUGAUGUUGACACCGGGCUAUUAGGAUUCUGGACUCUACUUAUAAUAUCCCUAACUGCUGGGUUCUCCUGCUGCAGCUUUUCUUGGACAGUGACUUACUUUGACUCUUUUGAGCCAGGAAUGUUUCCUCCUACUCCUCUUUCACCUGCCAGGUUCAAGAGCCCCAAAUUGGAAGCAACCCAAACGUCGAACAUUAGGAUGGAUAGAUAAGUUUUGGUAUUUUUAUGGAGUACUAAGCAGCAUUACAAACAAACACAUUUAUGCUACAUAAAACAUGGAUGAAUCUCACAGACAGGACUGAGUGAAAGAAUUCAGACACAAACGAAUACAAUGCCACGUAGAUGGAGUUUCAAGAGCAGAUGAAACCAGUCAUCAUGAUAGCUGACAGUAUAGUGGUUAUCCCAGGAUAUUGACAGGGAAAAGGAACAAAGUUUCUGCAGUGCUGGAAAUGUUCUAUAUUUGGUCUGGAUGGAAACUUACUGGACAUUCUUUCCACAUGGGCUAUAGUAUGGCAAUUUUGAACGGCAUUGUAGCUGCUCUUACUGUUGCAUGGUGCCUCAUGUAAACCUGCACUGAAACAGUAUUCUUGGCAAAGCUUAGUCAUGAUUGCUUUGUAGUACCAGGGAAGAAGAUCAUUGCCUACUCAGAAGACCAAGAAACCUGCUGUUCGUUAUGUGAUUCCGAUGUCUGCCAUAUCAUCAUUAUGGAGGAUCUUUUUAAGCAUCGUUCUUCAACCUAGGCACUGGGUUAUCUGAAUAUUAAGUUUCAAGUAGUUUCUUAAAAUUGUAAGAUGUUUACCUUA